GAUGAACGCUGGCGGCGUGCCUAAUACAUGCAAGUCGAGCGAACGGACGAGAAGCUUGCUUUUCUGAUGUUAGCGGCGGACGGGUGAGUAACACGUGGAUAACCUACCUAUAAGACUGGGAUAACUUCGGGAAACCGGAGCUAAUACCGGAUAAUAUUUUGAACCGCAUGGUUCAAAAGUGAAAGACGGUCUUGCUGUCACUUAUAGAUGGAUCCGCGCUGCAUUAGCUAGUUGGUAAGGUAACGGCUUACCAAGGCAACGAUGCAUAGCCGACCUGAGAGGGUGAUCGGCCACACUGGAACUGGGACACAGUCCAGACUCCUACGGGAGGCAGCAGUAGGGAAUCUUCCGCAAUGGGCGAAAGCCUGACGGAGCAACGCCGCGUGAGUGAUGAAGGUCUUCGGAUCGUAAAACUCUGUUAUUAGGGAAGAACAUAUGUGUAAGUAACUGUGCACAUCUUGACGGUACCUAAUCAGAAAGCCACGGCUAACUACGUG
rnacentral:rRNA from 1 species